GAGAGAGAGAGAGAGAUACAGCGAUUGCGCACAAGAGAAGAAAGAGAGGAAGAACAAGAGAGAGGGGCUCAUCAGGAGGGAAUUUUUAUAGCCAAAAUCUAAUGGGGUCUUUGGGUCUGCAAACUGCCUUGUUGGUGUACAAUGAUUGGAUCAUACAGUAGUUGCUAAAGGUGUCAUCUUCUGCCUUCAGGCAGAUGAGGCAAGGGUCAGAUGUAGGUUUCCAUUGCACCAGAUUGGUGGGGGUCGAGUGUUCAGCCUUGAGUGGCAUUGAGUGUUCAGACUUGAUGCAAACAAGUGAUAAAGGACCAGACAGAGGGGGGGUUGAGCACCUGGGUUAUUCUGUAGCUAACAUUUAUUAAGCCUGCCCUGCACCUAAUGUUUCUCCCUUUUUGUUUUUCUAAGUGACGUGAGGGCGGUACAAACUUGGCUACUUUCUGCUGAGAGGGGGUGGUGUGGGGCCUACCUGGGAGAGCUGAGGUAUGUUUGGGGACGGGCUUGUGAAUACCAGGGUGGCUAGAGAUAAUGUCCAGUGGCUAUAGACAAUUAUCUCAGAAGGGGAAAAGUCCAUAAAGGUUCUUUGAAGCCAUAGGUUGUAAAUGGCAUCAAAUCAUUCCUGAGCAGUGGAGAUCCUGGGUAUCAGUCAUUGGUCCUGUUGUAGGGACUCUAGGAAAUAUCGGAGGUGGCUUGGUUUAAUCCAGUAAUGUUAAGGGUGACUGCCCGAUUGUAGCCAGUGGAAGGGCAAUAGUCUUGACCCAUAAACUGAGAGUGGGUGGUGUCAUCCUGGUACCAUGUUGCUUGGAUGUAGAAGUGCCAUCUGUGGUUUGAGAUAGAAAUUUGAGAGAGAUUGAUGAUUAGUAAAAGAAGAAGUGGGUUGGCGAAAAAUCUUGAAUCUGGUGGGCAUGGUGGAAGUUCAGUACUGGACAUUUGGAACAGGUGCUUUUUAAGGCGGGAGACGUGGUACCAGGGGGAGUAGCCCAACAGCUUGGCCACCGUUGGGGUAGUAAGUAUGACUCUAUGAGGUCCUGUCCAGUGAGGUUCCAACGACUGAGGAUGCAGUUCCUGAAGUAAUACUGAGUCACCCAGUUGAAGAGGGUCUGAUUCGGUUUGUGAUCGUGCUGGGAUUAAGGCAAUGAAUGGCACAGGAAGGCACUGGUCUGCCUGUUCUCUUAGGAGUUUGUGUAGAAGUGUGAGAUUGGGCAGGAAGGACACAAGGGGAGGAGGAGUAACUGGAAAGCUUUGGUUGGUUAAGAAAGGGCACCCAUAGAGUUCCUCAAAGGGGCUAAGGCCUGAGGGAGCUCUAAGGUCUGCCUGAAUUGGGGUGAGGGACAAUGGCAGGAGAUUGGGCCAGGAGAGCCUGAGUUCAGUAGCAAGUUUAGUGAGAUGAUCCUUAAGAAUGCUGUUAGCCCUCUCAACCUUACCCGAGGAUUGGGGUCAGUAGGGGAUGUGGAGUCUCCAAGUUAUGUUGAGGCUUUUGGAGACUAGUUGAAUGACCUGAGAAGUGAAUGCUGGACCGUUGCCUGACUAGAUGGAGGUGGGAAGUCCAAACCUGGGAAUGAUCUGCUCGAUGAGGAUGGAGCUGACAGUGUCAGCAAUCAUCUAUCCAACCUGAAAAAGUAUCAACCAAAGUAAGUAGAUAGUGAAGCUUUUUGUGCCUAGGUAUGUGAGUGAAGUUGAUCUUCCAGUCUUCACCUGGCUGGUGACUCCUCAUCUAAUGCAUGAGAAGUUUACGUUGUUGCUUCUUUGUGGGGAUACUGUAGAGCAGACAGAAUAAGCAGAUUGGACCUGCUGGAGAGUAGUUCUCAUUCCUAGGAAGUAAAAGAGGGGUUGUAAAAACUGGAAAAAGGGUUAGGGAGGGCUUUAGAUGGGGGCAGAGUGUCUGGAGCUGGAGGAGUUGGUCAUGAGUCGUAGGUCUCCGUCUUGGGUAUCAGGGGCUGGUAGUCUUGAAGAAGUAGUUGACUGACCAACUGAUUGGUGAAUUUGUGUAUCUGAUCUUGUAGGAACUUUUGUAGGCAAUUUAAUAAACAUGGUCCUAUUAGGAGAAACACAAAGAGGAUUAAUAGGGGUCCUAUGAGGAGGAGGAGCCAAGGCCAUAUUUUACUGAACAUUUCCCAUGGAAAUUGUUGGCCUAGUUGCUGUUUCCUCUUUUCUAGUUGUUCUUAUAAUUGUUUGAUCUUGUCCUUCAUUAACCCCAGGAAUGACUGUGUUUUGAUUUAACUGCUUUUGUUAGGUUAAUUUCAAGACCAAGCUGGUAAAAAUUGACUUUGUUUCUAUCUAUUGUUAAGAGUCAACUGAGUUCUCAUAGGGGUCACUCUUGGGGGAACUUGAGAGCAGCUUCUUAGUUCUGCUAGUUCCAUUGGCGCUAGGAUGGGUCCAGGUCUUGCUUGACCAUGUGGCUUCCCUUGGAAGCAUCAGGGAUGUCUCCUUUUUCCAAUGAUCCUGCUAUUUACAGCAAGUGCACUGAUUGGCUUUUCAUUCUCCAGUGUUCUCAUUAAUCUCCCUGAUCAGGAGGUUAUGUGGCCCAGAGUUGCAAAGCUCUUUAGAGAAUUUCCCUGUUUCCUGGAUUCAGACUGACUCAGGGGAUAAGCGCCAAAUAUUGGUUUUCUUGGCCAUUUUAAUUUAACUUUAAUUUUAAGUCUUGAUCUUAAACUUCUAGCAAGUCAGUCUCAUCAGUUUUAAAAUAAGAGUACUGGGCUUUAACUAAAGUCUGGCCUACUUUGGAGUCAUUCUGACAUGUAGUAAGGUAGGAGGUAGAGCCUUACCUCAGGUAAGGCGGGGCUCUAUAAAUCUUAGGUAAAGUGUUCUAGCACUGAAGCUGAUCUUUGCUUCAUAAAUAUCAUUUUAUAAAGCUUACAUAUAGUGUUGCUUGAGGUCACAUGAAUACUAGCUAACACAAUAUGAAACUACAUUUAAAUUGUACCCCAGUGUAUAGAACUUUAUAUUAAUAUUAUUGAUA
rnacentral:lncRNA from 1 species